rnacentral:rRNA from 1 species
CCUACGGGGGGCUGCAGUAACGAAUCUUCCGCAAUGCACGCAAGUGUGACGGAGCGACGCCGCGUGUGGGACGAAGCCCCUCGGGGUGUAAACCACUGUCAGGGGAUAGAUCAUCCCCAGAGGAAGGCACGGCUAACUCUGUGCCAGCAGCCGCGGUAAGACAGAGGUGCCAAGCGUUAGGCGGAAUCACUGGGCUUAAAGCGUGUGUAGGCGGACCGUUAAGUACCUUGUGAAAUCCCCCGGCUCAACCGGGGAACUGCUGGGUAUACUGGCGGUCUUGGGCCACUUAAGGGCAGAUGGAACAGGCGGUGGAGCGGUGAAAUGCGUAGAUAUCGCCUGGAACGCCAAAGGAGAAAUCAGUCUGCUGGGUGUGCCGACGCUGAGACACGAAAGCCAGGGGAGCGAACGGGAUUAGAUACCCUUGUAGUC